AUGCACGCUGGCGGCGUGCCUCAUACAUGCAAGUCGAGCGAACAGACGAGGAGCUUGCUCCUCUGACGUUAGCGGCGGACGGGUGAGUAACACGUGGAUAACCUACCUAUAAGACUGGGAUAACUUCGGGAAACCGGAGCUAAUACCGGAUAAUAUAUUGAACCGCAUGGUUCAAUAGUGAAAGACGGUUUUGCUGUCACUUAUAGAUGGAUCCGCGCCGCAUUAGCUAGUUGGUAAGGUAACGGCUUACCAAGGCAACGAUGCGUAGCCGACCUGAGAGGGUGAUCGGCCACACUGGAACUGAGACACGGUCCAGACUCCUACGGGAGGCAGCAGUAGGGAAUCUUCCGCAAUGGGCGAAAGCUUGACGGAGCAGCGCCGCGUGAGUGAUGAAGGUCUUCGGAUCGUAAAACUCUGUUAUUAGGGAAGAACAAAUGUGUAAGUAACUAUGCACGUCUUGACGGUACCUAAUCAGAAAGCCACGGCUAACUACGUG
rnacentral:rRNA from 1 species